rnacentral:rRNA from 1 species
UCUAUGUCGGCGACCGGCGCACGGGUGCGUAACGCGUAUGCAACCUACCCAUUACAGGGGGAUAACACUGAGAAAUCGGUACUAAUACCCCAUAACAUCCAGGGAGGCAUCUUCUUGGGUUGAAAACUCCGGUGGUAAUGGAUGGGCAUGCGUUGUAUUAGUUAGUUGGUGGGGUAACGGCUCACCAAGACAACGAUACAUAGGGGGACUGAGAGGUUAACCCCCCACAUUGGUACUGAGACACGGACCAAACUCCUACGGAAGGCAGCAG